rnacentral:rRNA from 1 species
UACAGAGGGUGCGAGCGUUAAUCGGAAUUACUGGGCGUAAAGCGCGCGUAGGCGGCUUUGCAAGCCGGAUGUGAAAUCCCCGGGCUUAACCUGGGAACUGCAUUCGGGACUGCAUUGCUAGAGUAUGGGAGAGGGAAGUGGAAUUUCAGGUGUAGCGGUGAAAUGCGUAGAUAUCUGAAGGAACAUCAGUGGCGAAGGCAGCUCACUGGGACGGUACUGACGCUGAGGCGCGAAAGCGUGGGGAGCAAACAGG